rnacentral:rRNA from 1 species
UUAGCCAUGCUAGUCGAACGAGUUCACACUCGUGGCAGAUAGCUCAGUAACACGUGGCCAAGCUACCCUUCAGUCAGCGAUACCCUCGGGAAACUGAGGCUAAUAGCUGAUACUCGACGCCAGCUGGAAUGCGGCGUCGUCGAAAGACACCGCUGAAGGAUGCGGCUGCGGCCGAUUAGGUAGACGGUGGGGUAACGGCCCACCGUGCCAGUAAUCGGUACGGGUGAUGAGAGUCAGAGCCCGGAGACGGAAUCUGAGACAAGAUUCCGGGCCCUACGGGGCGCAGCAGGCGCGAAACCUUUACACUGCACGGAAGUGCGAUAGGGGAAUCCCAAGUGCGAGGGCAUAUUAGCCCUCGCUUUUGUUGACUGUAAGGUGGUCAACGAAUAAGAGCUGGGCAAGACCGGUGCCAGCCGCCGCGGUAAUACCGGCAGCUCAAGUGAUGUCCCAUAUUAUUGGGCCUAAAGCGUCCGUAGCU